AUACGGAGGAUCCAAGCGUUAUCCGGAUUUAUUGGGUUUAAAGGGUGCGUGGAACGGACUUAUAAGUCAGCGGUGAAAGUUUGCAGCUUAACUGUAAAAUUGCCGUUGAAACUGUUAGUCUUGAGUGUAAAUGAGGUAGGCGGAAUGUGUUGUGUAGCGGUGAAAUGCUUAGAUAUAACACAGAACACCAAUUGCGAAGGCAGCUUACUGGGAUACAACUGACGCUGAGGCACGAAAGCGUGGGGAUC
rnacentral:rRNA from 1 species